GCCAAAACACUACCAAACAAAUUGUAAAUAGGACCCACAGCAUAGCACUCCAAUUAUUCUCCCACGUCGGUAGACAAACAUGGCAUAAGCAUCAUAUGAAAUUUCUGAUGAUGUAACAAUCAUGGGGCUGGAAAGCGAUGAGAACGGAACUGCAGAGAGAUCGAAACCUCAAUUGAGAAUUAUUUGGGGCAUGUAACACGUCACACAGUUCAGACAAAAUCAGAGCACACGAGAGAGCUCUUUCUCGUGUCAUUGCCGACGGUGAAUUCUCCUCCAGUUUUUCCUUCGGCGAAUCUCCAUAUUCUAACGUCCCCCUUUUUCAUCCACCAGUUUCUGUAACUGACUCUUUCUCUCUCUCUCUCUCUCUAACAACUGUCCCAUCACAAUACUUUAUAUACAAUACAAAACUGUGUCGGUUGUUCAAAAGUCUAUAUAUCUUUCUCUAUUGUUCGAGCUAUUUCUCUUCUAGUACGUUCUGGAGAUAUAGGGUUUUGGACUCUGAAGGUUUCUCCAUGGAGAUUUUGGUGUUUCUUUAGAAGUUUGCUUACUUUUUUUGUUGUUGUUGUUGAGGGUUUGAAGUAGAAGACGAAGAGUUAGGGCAAGAGUAAGAGUGAGAGUGAGAGAGAGAGAGAGGAGGGAUUGAAUGGUGGAGUAUAAAUGUUGCGGGUCGGAGUUCUUUAUUCACAUAUUGAUAAUCGUGUUUCUAGUUUUGUUCACUGGAUUGAUGUCUGGGCUCACUUUGGGGUUCAUGUCUAUGAGUCUCGUUGAUCUUGAAGUUCUCGCCAAAUCUGGAACUCCCAAGGAUCGCAAACACGCUGCGUCCCUUACCGUAAUUGUUAAGGCUAGGUUUGCAUUUGCUGCUGGAGUGCUCCUCCCUUUUGGUGCAACUUAGUCACUGUUCUUUGUAAGUAUUAGCUGGCUCUCAUUUGGCGUGCAGUUUGGACUAUAUAUUCUUAGAAGUAUAAAAUACUUAAAAAAUCGGUUGUAAUAUUCUACUAAAAAAAAAGUAGAACACAGGAAAAAAAAA